GAGAGCGUACACAGGUGCUGCAUGGCUGUCGUCAGCUCGUGUCGUGAGAUGUUGGGUUAAGUCCCGCAACGAGCGCAACCCUGCAUUCAGUUGCCAUCGGGUAAGGCCGGGCACUCUGGAUGGACUGCCGGCGACAAGCCGGAGGAAGGUGGGGACGACGUCAAGUCAUCAUGGCCCUUAUGUCCAGGGCGACACACGUGCUACAAUGGCCGGCACAACGGGAAGCGAAGGGGCGACCCUGAGCGGAUCCCACAAAAGCCGGUCUCAGUUCGGAUUGCAGUCUGCAACUCGACUGCAUGAAGUUGGAAUCGCUAGUAAUCGUGGAUCAGCCAAGCCGCGGUGAAUACGUUCCCGGGCCUU
rnacentral:rRNA from 1 species